GAAGUUCUAAUAAUCAUGACACACAUCAGGAAACUAUUGGUGAUAUGCUGGAUCUUGUUACCUUUGAUCAUGAGUUAAGUUAUGGCAAUGCAAAGUUAGCAAAUGAAAUUUCACCAGGGUUUAAUGUGACUGGCAACAUGGAUGAUAUUUUGGCGCUGCCAAAGUCACAGGAUUGGGCAAGUAAUUCAGGUGGUCAACUGAUUCCUCAAACUGUCCAUUUCCAGUCCACGGAUCCGCUAAGCUGGCGUAACUCACCGAUGACCCAUAUGACCCAGUUUGAUGGGAGUGGAAUGAACGCUCUGGAACUACUAGACUCUGAUAAGAAGCCAUAUGUAUUGGAAGAUGACACACCUGAAAUACUAAAGGACUCUUCUAUACCACAAAUUGGUGUUAAAGUGAACUCCCCGAAU
rnacentral:misc_RNA from 1 species